GCGGGGACUCUCCUUCACUGCGGGCCCCCCUUCCUCACGGACCCCAUAGCAGCUGCGUGGUCUGCCUAUAUGGUAGGUACGCCACUGACUAGAGAUAAGUG